UCAACAUGGAGGAGCCUGAGGGAGAUGGGUCCAGUUUGUUCUCAAGUCUUUUCUGGUAAGUGGCAGCGAGCCUCUCCUAACUGUUAACGUUUUGAACGGUGUUUUAAAAUUACAGUAAAAGUGGUUUCUAACUCAUACAGAACUUAAACAUGAACUGAAGGGCGGAAUAUUUGUGCAGCAUAGUUAAGCUCUUAUUGUUGGCUAGCUAAUAUAGGCCACAAUGCUAUCGCUAGCAUAGCCACUAACGCUAACUCUAGCCAAGUUGACUGACAAAAGAACCACUAGUUAACCAAUCUUUGGCUAGCUUUAAUCUUUAUACUGGCUGGUUUGGAACUGACAGUCUGGCUAGUUUGUUGUUGAAUGUGUAUGUAGGCUACCAUGACGUUAUUAAACCAAGGUUACACACACUAAACAAACUUUAUCAUAAACAAUCUAUAUUUAUGAGUGAGCUUGAAUUAAACCUUGAUUUACACAUUCCCUUUGAUCAUAUGAUGCUGCUAAUAUUUAACAGUAGUGAUCCACUUGUGUAAUGCAUGCACUACAGUAUAGAUGCUUUAUCUUGGGUAUUCAUAUACUGUAUUUAUUUUAUAUUUAUUCUUUGACAUUUUCGGCUGCAACUCACGUCAGACCGCCUGUUAGAGCAGAAUUUUGCCAUUUACUGACACAGACGACACUAACAUGUUGGUUCCUCCCUUAGACAAAGAGAACAUCAAUCAAUCAAUCAUCAAUUGGUUGUGUGCCAUGAAGAUUAUUUAUACACAGUUAACAAAGUGGUAGUGAAACACUGAGAUACAUUUCUUGACACCAGUGUGUUUCACGUAAAUCUAGCAGCAACUGGAAAUGCAGUAUCAAUCGGGGUAUUUGGUGCUGUCCUGCUGUCCAUCUGCUCUCUAUCAAAGUGGAGCUCUGUCUUUGGAAUUUUGAAACAAGUGUAAAAGUAAUACCACUGCACAUAUUGUAUUAAUUCUCCCUGAUUCACAUAUAAUUGGACCUAAUCUAUAAGCAUUCACAUAGUUUGAAUCAAUAAAUGUAUAUAAGUGCUUUGUUGUUUAAACCUUUAUAUACUGUAAUAAAUCAACCAUCAGCUGUAAGGAGAAACUGUUCUUUGAUUCUGAUUUUUAUAGAUAAACUCAAAUAU